GGAGGGGAAGGACAGGCGGUGCGCGGCGGCGGGCCCCGGGGUGAUUCAGGCGUGCCAGGAGCAUGGCGGAGAGGCUCGUCCUGAUGUGCGGAUCCCCUCCGGGGCCGGCAGCGAAAGCGCUGUGGGUUAGACCUGACCUUACUCCCCCUUCGCCGUUUUCUCGCCGCCGCCUUUGCGGGAGGAUCUGUGGAGAUGCCCAGGGAAGAGCCUUCCCUCUGGGCCACGGCGGUGCGGGAGGCCUCGGCCUUCCCCUGCGCCGCCUCAGCUCCCACCCCUGCUUCAGCCGCUCGCUCCCUCUCCUCCGGCACCGCCGUCCCUCCUUCCCCUCACCGGCACCGAGCCUUGAAAAGGGUUCUGUGGUUUGGUUUUGGCGUGCAGAGUGUUGGCCCAGAGCUGCUCUUCCCGCCCGCACCCCAAGGUGGGUAGUUCUAUGCCUAAGGCUUUUCUCCUCCACCGCUUUUGCUCCGUGGCGGGGGUUGAAGCCCUCCCCUCCCCUCUCUGCUCACGGCACGGAAAAUAACCAGAAGAGCUUUAAAAUAAUAACAAUAAAGAAAACCAAACCAACAAACCCCCAAGCGCUCGAGGAUGGAUUUCUCUUCGGUGCCGGGCACAAGCUGCUGCUGCUCGCCUUGCUCCCUGCACCGCCAUGGGGUGCGUGCGGAGCACAGGCUUGGUGCGAGCAGCUGUUGGAACCCCAGCAACAAAAAACCACCCCCAAAGUACCUCUUUAACAUCCGAACGUCCCUGGUUGGAGGCUGCAUCCAAGAAGUUUCUACGGGGGAGGGCAGCACCCACUGCAGAGCCUCUGCCGCAGCGCCGGGCAGGCGUGGUCCCUGCCAGGAGGAGGAUGAAGAAGAGGAUGCGCCGCCUCUCUCAGCCUGCCAGUGUCCUGCCUAAGCCUUGCUACAAUUCCCUCUCCUUGAAAAGGGUGCUGGGAGGCGUUGGAGGGUGGUGGUUUUUUGUUUUGUUUUGGUUUUUGUUUGGUGGAUUUUGGGGGUUUUAAAGGUUUUUUUUUUUAUCCCCCCCACCCCCCCUCUCCCCACCCUCCUUUGCUAAAUAAAUGAAAAGCAGAGCUGGCUGCUGACGGAGAUGGAUGAGCCGUGGGGGUUGCUCGCUCGCUCGCAUGCAUUGCCGCAGCCAGGGCACUGAUGGCAGAAGUGACCUUUCCCAGGCGGUGGGAAGGAGGUUUCCUUCCCUCCCCUCCCCCCCUCCCCAUGCUCCACUUGGAAUGCAUUUGAAAUAGCAAA